GGUAAGAUGGCUGAGUAGAGCAUUAGACUGUAAAUCUAAAUACAGAGGGUAAAUCCUCUUCUUACCA
rnacentral:tRNA from 1 species